UACAGAGGUCUCAAGCGUUGUUCGGAUUCAUUGGGCGUAAAGGGUGUGUAGGUGGCGCCGUAAGUCGGGUGUGAAAUUUCGGAGCUUAACUCCGAAACUGCAUUCGAUACUGCGGUGCUUGAGGACUGGAGAGGAGACUGGAAUUCAUGGUGUAGCAGUGAAAUGCGUAGAGAUCAUGAGGAAGACCAGUGGCGAAGGCGGGUCUCUGGACAGUUCCUGACACUGAGACACGAAGGCCAGGGGGGCAAACGGG
rnacentral:rRNA from 1 species